rnacentral:rRNA from 1 species
AAGGGUAUUGGAUUAGACUUGGUGUUUUGUGAUUAUCUUCCCUUCUUGGGUUGUGCACUCGCAUUUCACUGGGCCAGCAUCGGUUUGGAUGGCAAGAUAAUGGCUUGGGAACGUGGCACUCCUCGGAGUGUGUUAUAGCCCUUGUUGAUGUUGCCUAUCUAGACCGAGGACUGCGGCUUUUGCCUAGGAUGCUGGCGUAAUGAUUCAAUACCG